rnacentral:pre_miRNA from 1 species
CUGGGUCCCUGAGACCCUUUAACCUGUGAGGAUGUCAGGGUCACAGGUGAGGUUCUUGGGAGCCUGG